CAGUUCAGAUUGCAGGCUGCAACUCGCCUGCAUGAAGUCGGAAUUGCUAGUAAUCGUAGGUCAGCAUACUACGGUGAAUACGUUCCCGGGCCUUGUACACACCGCCCGUCAAACCAUGAGAGUUGGCAACACCCGAAGUCGGUAGUCUAACCGCAAGGAGGACGCCGCCGAAGGUGGGGUCGAUGAUUAGGGUUAAGUCGUAACAAGGUAGC
rnacentral:rRNA from 1 species